AAUCAACGCUGGCGGCGUGCCUCAGACAUGCAAGUCGAACGUGAAAGUUCCUUGGGAAUGAGUAAAGUGGCGCACGGGUGAGUAACACGUGGGUAAUUUGCCUUCGGGUGGGGAAUACCAACCGGAAACGGUUGUUAAUACCGCAUGAUGCAGCGGCUCGACAUCGAGACAGUUGUUAAAGCGGGGGAGCGGAGCAAUCCGUCCUCGCGCCUGAAGAGAAGCCCGCGGCGGAUUAGGAGUUGGUGAGGUAAUGGCUCACCAAGCCCGCGAUCCGUAACCGACCUGAGAGGGUGGUCGGUCACACUGACACUGACAUACGGGUCAGACUCCUACGGGAGGCAGCAGUCGGGAAUUUUGGGCAAUGGGCGCAAGCCUGACCCAGCAACGCCGCGUGAAGGAUGAAGC
rnacentral:rRNA from 1 species